CCCUUAGAUGUUCUGGGCAGCACGCGCGCUACAAUGGUCUUCGCAAACGGAUGCAUUCUCGAAGGAGAAUGCCAAUCUUGGAAUCUAUGCCUUGGUCGGGACAGUUGCUUGCAAUUUUUCGACUCGAGCCAGGAAUUCCUUGUAAUCGUGAUUCAUCACAUCACGAUGAAUACGUCCCUGCCCUUUAUACACACCGCCCGUCGCUCCUACCGAUCGAAGAGUUAGGUGAAUUGUUUUGAUCGAUAAGAUUUGACUAUGGUCAACUCUCGUUGUGAAAUUCUGUGAAUCUGACUGUUUAGAGGAAGGAAAAGUCGUAACA
rnacentral:rRNA from 1 species